UACGGGGGGGGCAAGCGUUGUUCGGAAUUACUGGGCGUAAAGGGUUCGUAGGUGGCCUGCUAAGUCAGACGUGAAAUCCCUCAGCUUAACUGGGGAACUGCGUCUGAUACUGGUAGGCUUGAGUGCAGGAGAGGAACGCGGAAUUCCAGGUGUAGCGGUGAAAUGCGUAGAUAUCUGGAGGAACACCGGUGGCGAAGGCGGCGUUCUGGACUGCAACUGACACUGAGGAACGAAAGCCAGGAGAGCAAACGGG
rnacentral:rRNA from 1 species